GGAGGGAUGGCCGAGUGGACUAUGGCGCUUGUCUUGAAAACAAGUGUGGGGCAACUCACCGGGGGUUCGAAUCCCUCUCCCUCCG
rnacentral:tRNA from 2 species